ACAGCAAUGUAUUCCAAUUGACCCUUGUGCAGAAGACUCGCACGAUUGUCACAAGAACGGAAAGUGCAUUUUCUUCGGACCUUACAGUCAGCCCAAGUUCGGCUGCAAGUGUAAAACUGGCUACGCCGGUAAUGGUCGAAUUUGUGGUAGCGACAGCGAUCUGGAUGGCUGGCCAGAUGAGGAUCUUAAAUGCGAAGACUCUUACGGCCACCAUUGCACAGCUGAUAACUGCCCAAGUAUUCCCAACAGUGGGCAGGAAGACCAAGAUAAGGACAAACUAGGUGAUGCUUGUGAUACUGAUGAUGACAACGAUGGAAUCCACGACUCAGCUGUAAGACUG